rnacentral:hammerhead_ribozyme from 1 species
GCGCUACUUAUGAGUCGUAAAUAAGACGAAACAGCUGUCCAGUGC